GGGACAGUGGUCUAGGGGUAUGAUUCUCGCUUCGGGUGCGAGAGGUCCCGGGUUCAAGUCCCGGCUGUCCCC